CAAAAAAGUAUCAAAGAUGCAAAUAACUAUGGUGAAAAUAUAUAUAAUAGGAUAAACAAAAUAAGGAUAUAUAGCAGAAGGAGAGGUGGUUCCCCGUGAAGAAAGGACUUCCCGCCCCGCCCCCUCUUCCCGUCCACGUCUGGGGGAUAUAUAAGGCGAACCCAGAGCCAGGAAGGGCAUAUUGUCCUUCCCAGAGGCACGAAAACGACUCUUUCUCUCGCCUCCAGGAUGAAGCUGAUUUCAAUGUUGAUGGCCCUAGUUGUGGCCCUCUCUGGCCUCCUGGGUUCAGCUCGUGCCAUGCCUGACCCCUUCCCUGUUGCUGACCCCGUGGCUGACCCCGCGGCUGACCCCUGGUUCUUUAGACGCAGGCACUACUACCCACACUACCACCACUACCCCCACCACCAUCACUACCACCACCACUGGUGAAAACAAGGAUUCACUUUUCUCUCUUGAAAAUAAUUCCCAAAAUGUAACAAUAUAUCUCAUUCCAGUGACUUUGUAUACCAAUGUACGAUUUAUGCUUUACGGUCAACUUGCUGUAAGAAUAAAAUCCUAAAUGAGA